ensembl:lncRNA
UCCCUCCCUCCCUCCCUCCUCUCCUGCCAUUUCCCUCUCUCUAUCCAUCCCUCCCUCCCUCUUUCUCUGUGUCACUCACUCUAUGUCUCAGGUGGCUGCGUUAAGUCAGCCUGUUGUGUCCAGUCCUCCCGUGUCUCUCAGUAGCGGUGUGUGUCUGUGUCUCUCUCUGUGUGUAAGUGUUGUCAGACCCCGUCCUGACAUGCUGGAGGUGCUCGGAGAGGCAGCGUAGCGAUUAGCGAUUAGCAUUUGUGAGGGUAGCAGGGAAUGCCUGCCUGACAGGCCCUGAAAAUGAAUCCAGUAAAGUACAGAUGAAAUCCAGAUUGCCUUUACAUAAUUCUGCCAUGACUUCUACCGAGUCAUAGUCAUAGUUCUAGUCUUAGUCAUAGUUCCAGUUCUAGUCAUAGUUCUUGUUUUUGUUCUAGUUCUAGCGCCCGAGACAUGGAUCCAGGUCUGUGUUGCUUCAGCUGCUUUGGCUAGGAGCCCCGGCACACAAUGCGCUGUCUCGCGGAGAUGAUGGUUAGGGUCUACCAAAUGCCCUGGGGAACAAAAUGUCUGCCUUCUGCUACCUAGAACAGUUUUUCUCUUGCUGUGGAAGCUGUGGAGGCAGUAUGGUGCUCUGUAGAAGGCACAUCUGAGGGAGAAAAAUGCAAAAAAUCAAGUAUCCAAGUCAAGAACAGCACCCCCUAGUGGCGUAGAGAAGAAACGUGCAGAAAUGUAUUGUUGUCUUUCCUGAUCCCUCAGCUCUGAACUCUGAACCCUUUGCUGGGCCAUGCUGUUCUCCGCUCUCUCAGGAGAUUCGCUGAGCAUUCCGUUUCCAGAAUAAAAAAGCUUAUACUGACACCUAAUGAAGUCAAGGUAUAUGAGGUCAUAUCCUGUGAGGUCAUGUACUGUGCGGUCACGUCCUGUGAGGUCACGUCCCUGUCAGGUAGUUGGUGUGUAGUCGACUCUCACAUUGAGGCUUGUGGAAGUCAGCUCAUUCUCCAUUGGUUUGUGUCCCAGUACUGUUAGUCUGAGCUUAGUCUGAGAUUAGUCAAGGAUUAGUCUAUGGGUUUCUAGGAUAACCCGUAACCUGUUGUAAAAAAUGUUGUGCUCUCUUUCUGCUCCCCUUCUCUUGUCUGUCUCUCUCUCUCUCUCUCUCUCUCUCUCUCUCUGUUCUUCUAUCUGGGUUAGUCAUGAGUGGGGGACAGUGUGUAGUUCUUGUGCGAUGGCCGUAGUGUGACACCCUCAGUGCACCAUCCAGAUAUACAGUGUAGUAGCUCAGUCUUUAGCUGUAGGACGGUUCGUGCAGUUGUAACGUAACUUGAGUUAUGAGUGUGUGUGUGAGUGUGUGUGAGAGAAAGAGAAGGUGUGGAUGGCUGGAUGUGUGCUUGCAUGAUUUGCUGCACUUGCCUCUCAUGGUUGAGUGUUGUUCAUUACUGUUUCUGACCUUUGCUGUGUGUCAGUGUUCACAGAAUUAUCAAACAAAUUAAGACAAAUGGUUAGGAAAGCAGAAAAAAAAAAAAAAAAGAUUUGGUAAAAGAAGGAGGAAUGCUUCACACGUUGACGGAAGAGAAGAGAAGUGACUGAACGAGGAGAAGCGUUCUUCGUCAUGCUGAACAUUAUUCUGUGUUGAAUCGAUUAGGAAAGGCCAACGAGUUAAGUGAUCUGAAGAUGAGGAAGAUGAAGAUAAUGAGUGAGAAUAAGAACUCUGUUUUUGUGUGGAAGCGUGGGUCUACACGUGUGCUUGUGUGCACAGAGUGCAAGGAUAGAUUGACUUGUGUGCUGUAUGUGUAGGGCCAGAGGUGUGUGUGUGAGAGGUGUGUGUGAGGUGUGUGUGUGUGAGGUGUGUGUGUGUGUGUGUGUGUGUGAGGUGUCUGUGUGUGUGAGGUGUCUGUGUGUGAGAGGUGUGUGUGUGUGUGAGGUGUGUGUGUGAGAGGUGUCUGUGUGUGAGAGGUGUGUGUGUGUGUGUGUGUGAGAGGUGUGUCUGACUGUCGAGUUCUAGCUGGUUUGUGUAGCUGUAGGAAUGUUUAAACGGAUUAUCAGAAAACGAAACUCCUUUCCAUAACUCCUGUGAAACAUAAGUCAAGGAAUCACAUAGACACACCCCCCCGACACUGUUUAGAAUUCAUCAUAGGCCUCUUUAUACAGCCAGUCAGUAGGAUGGUGAAGUGUCCUCAGCCCUGGUCACGGGGGAACUGUACUUCAUGUCUGUAUCAGUGAUAGGUUCUUCACACGCUUUGUCCAUUCUUUUUCUGUGACCUUCCUUUGGGUGGGAAUGUGUUGUGCGAAGUAUGAUAUGGGGGGGGCCUAUGGCAAAUGUGCAAUGAAACAUGAAAUAAUCAGAUUAUUGUGUAUUAAAGAAUGUGAAGAGUCUAAACUAAAUGUGAAAAGAUAAAUAGAAGUAUAUUCAUAAAUAGACCAUGUCUAUGUAGGUAGAAUGUGAAUAUAUAUAUAUAUACGAGUAUUGUUAAGAUUCAGUGGGAAGAUCUGAAGACAAUCAAUGCCAAGAUAGUUUUUUUUGUUAUAAUAUCUAUUUAUUUAUUUUUUUAUUUCUUGUCAUGCCUGUAACCUGAAUUCUGAUGGAUUCAGUACAUUUCACAGAAGACACACAUUUAAGUUUCACAGAACUUCAUCAAGUGCAUUUGAUUUAUGACAAUUUGUGUUUGUGUUUUUUUAUUUAUCAGAAGUGAUCAUGCCUAUCUAUUGCUUUGCUGUAGGACUGGUAAGGGUUAUUGGUCAGAGGGACUGGUCAGGUGUAUUGAUCACUCAUUGUAGUGGCUGGUUAAUCUUUAACAGAGACAGGUCUUGUCCUUACCACUGCUGUUUAGUGUGUGUCCUCAGUCACACACACACACACACACACACACACACACACACACACACACACACACACACACACACACACACACACACACACACACACUCCUGUCAAGUCGAAAUAAAGCAGAGGUUUAUUCUGGC